UGGCGUAUUAGAUACUGUAAACAAGAUCAAUAAAUAACUGUGUGCUAGGUAUUCUUGUGGGGCCAUCACCUGGUCUGUAAGCUCAUUGACUUCGGGAUCCAUGUCUUAUAUAUUCUGUGCUUUGUUGAGGCACAGAUUAGGUGCUCAAUAAAAGCUUCCUGAGAGAUUUUGGUUGGACACAUUGCCGUCACUGGUCCAUGUAAAAUUUCCAUUUUCACAGUGAAGAGUUGUGGGGAGCAGUAUUCAUUUCAUGGCUGUGUCCUGGUUCUUCUCUGAUGCAUCUUUCCUAUGGCAAAAUGGCCCGUGGAGGUCUGGAGAGCCACCUGGCUGGUGAUGUUUUUCAUAGAACUUGUCUUUUUGAGGAGCUCCUUGCUGUUUUUUCUGUAGGCCUUAGGUAAGCAAAGCAAUAUUUGCCAGGCAAACAGUUGGAGGGAUCUUAACUGCUAAAACAGUAACCAUUCUACGCAUUCUGAAGAGAAGCCCACCUGUGAUUCCAGCCUUGGACACAGGAGCGCUGUUGUUGGGUGUUGAGGAUGAUGGAGGUGGAUGAGUCAGAAUCUAUCAUCUGCUACAUCAGUAAAAGAGUAAACUAGCCUAUCUGAUGUGCUCCACGCCCUCUUAGGACUCAGGUGUGAGCUCUCCUGUUGACAGUCAGCUUUCCUUUGCUGCUUGUGAGAGUUUGGCCUGACCCUCAGGAAGGUGUUGGUACCAACUGGGUUCUCUCCUUUACCUUCCUAGACCUCUGCCUCUUCGUCUAUCCAGGAGAGAGAGAGAGAGAAGAACAUUUGUCCUAGAGGGUUAGGUGAGGACCAGAGUCUGGGCAUGUUAAGCACCUAACACAGUGCCUGGCACACAGUAGGCACUCAAUAAAUGGUAAGUGCCUUCAGGAUCAUCUCUAUGACUGGCUGGAGGACAUCUUUACAACUGUUGUAUAGUGGCCUCCUCUUUUCUUGUUUGUUGACAUUUGGAAGGGGAUCCCAAGGGGCUGUGGAGAUGGGUUGUAAGGAUGUUUAUUCUGCAUCCCUGGAAGACUUCGCUGUAAUCCAUAGAGAAGCACCGAGGUGCCCUGUUCGUUCAGAGAGUCCAACGAUGUCCCCCACCCCCGGCCAGUGCUCUCCCAGGCCAGCAGCAUGGCAUUGGUCUUCUGUUUUUCUGGGAGGAGAGCACUUCCAAAUCCUCUGGACAGUGUGGACACAGCCCGGAGGAAGGCAAGGCCUCGGUGGGGCACGGGCAGGGGGGAAGUGGGGGUCCUGGGUGUGGCUGGGAAGUUGAGGCUCAUGGCCUGCAAGUUUUCUUCUAAUGGAAUUUCCCAUCACUUACUGCCCUGCUGAUUUCUGAUCAAUGAAAAUGAAAUUGCAUCACCUCCUCAGAGGCUCCACGUAUGCCUGCUGCUUCCAGCUGUGUCAGUUCCGGUAAAAUAAUCUCAUCAGGCGUGCGAGAGGGUAAUAGGAAAUAAAAAUAAAAA
rnacentral:lncRNA from 1 species